AGCUUUGCGCAGUGGCAGGAUCGUAGCCAAUGAGGUUUAUCCGAGGCGCGAUUAUUGCUAAUUGAAUUUUACCUGCCUUGGGAAGGAUGGAAAGCUGGGUCAACCUUGAGCCUGGUGAGAUUCGACCUGCCAAAUUGCAAUCAGC